rnacentral:rRNA from 1 species
AGAGUUUGAUCCUGGCUCAGAACAAACGCUGGCGGCGUGUCUUAAGCAUGCAAGUCGAGCGGCAAGGGCAGCAAUGCCCCUAGAGCGGCGGACUGGUGAGUAACGCGUGGGUGAUCUACCUUGGGCAUGGGGAUAGCCAUUAGAAAUAGUGGGUAAUACCGAAUACGUUCGUUACCGUGAGGGUAACGAGGAAAGGCGCUACGGCGCCGGCCUGGAGAUGAGCUUGCGUCUGAUUAGCUAGUUGGUGAGGUAAUGGCUCACCAAGGCGAUGAUCGGUAGCCGGCCUGAGAGGGUGUACGGCCACACUGGGACUGAGAUACGGCCCAGACUCCUACGGGAGGCAGCAGCUAAGAAUAUUCCGCAAUGGACGAAAGUCUGACGGAGCGACGCCGCGUGGAUGAUGAAGGCCGAAAGGUUGUAAAGUCCUUUUGCUGGGGAAGAAUAAGCGUGGGAGGGAAUGCCCGCGUGAUGACAUGAACCGGCGAAUAAGCCCCGGCUAACUACGUGCCAGCAGCCGCGGUAACACGUAGGGGGCGAGCGUUGUUCGGAAUUACUGGGCGUAAAGGGCAUGUAGGCGGCUUUGUAAGCUUGGCGUGAAAUUCCACGGCUUAACCGUGGGAAUGCGUUGAGAACUGCGAGGCUUGAGUGACGGAGAGGGAGCUAGAAUUCCUGGUGUAGGGGUGGAAUCUGUAGAGAUCAGGAAGAAUACCAAUGGCGAAGGCAAGCUCCUGGCCGAUGACUGACGCUGAGGUGCGAAAGUGUGGGGAUCAAACAGGAUUAGAUACCCUGGUAGUC